AGUUCUAGGCAAAGAGCAAGGCCGUUGCGCUCGUCUGCCUCGGAAAGGUAUGAGUUACCCACUAGGAAGUCGAGCAAGGGCAGAGAACCUAUCUCUUGUUUUCCUGAAGCCUCCCUGGCUCCGGGGUGUUCUGCUAGGGGAAGGGAGAGAAUGAGGCCUUUGAGGGCCUGAGAGAGGGGCCAGGAAGGUAGGUCCCAGAGGCCCAGGUCUCUUGACCGUGGAGACCAGCGCUCUCGGCCCGUGACUCACGGGAAACCCGAGCCUGCAGUUGCUUCUUUCCAGGGGUUUCUACUUAGAAAUAUUAGCAGCCCAGCCCUCAUUGUCCAAAGCCCCCAAGACUUGCCACCAGGGUUCUGUGAGUCCCAAGAUGGGUGGCAGAGCCUCUCUCC
rnacentral:lncRNA from 1 species